rnacentral:rRNA from 1 species
GCCACUUUAAUCUGAUGGAAUAUAGUAAGCAUUAAAUAUAUUUAAAUAUGGAAUUUAUCUCGAUAUAAUUUAUCCAGUUUAAAGUUUUAAAAAAUGUAUGCAAAUAUAAUUUAGAUAAUUUACUAACCUAGGUUAAUUAGGUGCCAGCAACCGCGGUCAUACCUAAUAAAUUAGCUUAUCUAUCCUAGUAAUUAUUAAAACUAUUUCGAAAUAUAAAUAAUAGUUAGUAAAAUAUUAUUACAUUUAGAAUACCUUAAUAAUUUUUAAUAAAUAAAUCCAUAGCUAAAACCAGGAUUAGAGACCCUAUUAUUGUGGACUUAAAAUUUUAAUUACUAAGAAGUAAUAUAUCAUCUUUAAACUUAAAUGUUAUGGCGGCUAAACAAAACAAUUAGGGGAACUUACCAUAUAAUUGAUAACCACCAAGCAUAAAUUCACUUAUUAUAAUAAUUUGUAUACCGUUGUCUUUAUGAGUCCCUCAAAGGGACUCAGAAAUAUAUAAACUAUUAUAAGACAAAUCAAGGUGCAGUCUAUUAAUAAGAAAUAAGGUGAGUUACAGUAAAUAUUUUUUUCAGAAUGAAUCAUGAAAUAUUUCAAGAAGAUGGACUUAAAAGUAUUUUUUAAAUAAAAACAUAUUACAUGAAUAGUUAUUGCUUAGUGUA